GAUGAACGCUGGCGGCGUGCCUAAUACAUGCAAGUCGAGCGAACGGACGAGAAGCUUGCUUCUCUGAUGUUAGCGGCGGACGGGUGAGUAACACGUGGAUAACCUACCUAUAAGACUGGGAUAACUUCGGGAAACCGGAGCUAAUACCGGAUAAUAUUUUGAACCGCAUGGUUCAAAAGUGAAAGACGGUCUUGCUGUCACUUAUAGAUGGAUCCGCGCUGCAUUAGCUAGUUGGUAAGGUAACGGCUUACCAAGGCAACGAUGCAUAGCCGACCUGAGAGGGUGAUCGGCCACACUGGAACUGAGACACGGUCCAGACUCCUACGGGAGGCAGCAGUAGGGAAUCUUCCGCAAUGGGCGAAAGCCUGACGGAGCAACGCCGCGUGAGUGAUGAAGGUCUUCGGAUCGUAAAACUCUGUUAUUAGGGAAGAACAUAUGUGUAAGUAACUGUGCACAUCUUGACGGUACCUAAUCAGAAAGCCAAGGCUAACUACGUG
rnacentral:rRNA from 1 species